rnacentral:rRNA from 1 species
CACGUAGUUAGCCGUGACUUUCUGGUCGGAUACCGUCAGGGGGAUGCCAGUUACUACAUCCCUUGUUCUUCUCCGAUAACAGAACUUUACGAUCCGAAGACCUUCUUCAUUCACGCGGCAUUGCUCCAUCAGGCUUUCGCCCAUUGUGGAAGAUUCCCUACUGCUGCCUCCCGUAGGAGUCUGGGCCGUGUCUCAGUCCCAGUGUGGCCGAUCACCCUCUCAGGUCGGCUACGUAUCACUGCCUUGGUGAGCCAUUACCUCACCAACUAGCUAAUACGCCGCGGGGCCAUCCAUGAGCGAUAGCAAAAGCCAUCUUUAAUGUCUGAAACAUGCGUUUCUGACACCUAUGCGGUAUUAGCACCCGUUUCCGGAUGUUAUCCCCCUCUCAUGGGUAGGUUCCCCAGUGUUACUCACCCGUUCGCCACUCAUCCACACUCUGCAAGCAGAGUGCUUCAGCGUUCGACUUGCAUGUAUUAGGCAUGCCCG